CAGAACAGAAGCGACAAGUAUAAGAGGAAAUCGCUGGAGUUAUUAUUGUUCAGCAAGCGUGCAACGUUGCAACAUUUGUAGUUAAAUGAUUAGCUAAGAGUCGAUGUCAAUUAAUUUUUAUAUGUUAAUAGAUGCAUCUAUAAAUGUACUUAUUGACGGUCAGGUAAAUGUAAGUAGAAACAUUUGCAAGUAACCUUAUGCUAUUUGUUUUCUUUGUUUGAAGAGCUCAGACUUCUGUGUGUGCUAUUUUGAUUGUUUCUCUUGCAGAUUGAAAACGCCUGCACUCGUCUAUGAAGAGGGCAAAAACAUGUACACUUCCAACAUGCAUGUUAUUGCCACAGUCCCUGUCUACUCUCCAGUCCUGAAUCCACUCUGAAGAGAGAUCUUCUUCUGUCUCUCUGUCUAGUAAUCAGAGCACAGAGACAUCUUUAGGUCCACAGCUAAGAAACAAUUGCCACGUCCAUUAUCUGUGUCCUGGCUUUUGUGGGAAAUCUGUCCAUCCUAAAGACUGAGGAGACAUUUCUGCAAGGACCUGCCAUUUACAUAAAGUACUGUAAGGAUGCUAUAAAAUAAAACACGUCUCAGAUGACAUCCUGCCAUUAUUCACAAAUAACCAUUUCUUUCUACAACUAAUGAUGUUUUAUUAACAAGGUUCGGGAGGAGCACGUGACCUAAUUAGCACAGGUGGAGCUCACUUAAGAUAAUCAACACUAGGGUAUAAAUACCGCUGACUUACCCCUAUCCAUUGACGGUUUAUCAGCAUUCGGUUUGCACCUUUUGCCAUUAUAUGGCAGACUCAGCUUCUCUCAUUUAGAAGACGAGGUUUAUAUUGGGGAUUUUUCAGUUCUCUGGCCAAUCUGCCGGGCCCAGGAUCGCUCCUUCUCCGCCAGACACCGCCGCGAGCUCCGUGCUCCAUUGCGGCCGCUGCUCUGCUCGACCAG
ensembl:lncRNA